CCCCUCCCUCUCUCUUCCGUAGACAGAACAAACACGCACAGACACACACACAGACUCACCUAAACUUUCACUCCAGACAAGAACAUAUUUAUAGACCCGAUGACUCAUUUUUUGUACUACUAGAUGGAUUAGUUUCGUAGUUUUGCAUCUAUCCAUUUAUCCAAACCCCUCCUGAUCCUACUCCUUCAUCCUUAUCCUCAUCCAUACUCACCUGAUCUUUAUCCUCCACCUUUUCCUUUCUCCUUCCUUUCUUUCAUCUCCUCUACCUCGUUUCUUUUCGUUAUUCUCAUUUUCUUAUUCUCGUGUUUCUCUAUCUCUUCCUCAUCCUCAUCCUCCCUAUCCUCAUCCAUACUCAUGUUCUCAUCUUUAUCCUUCUCUUUCUUUCUUCUUCCUUUCUCUUAUCCCCUCUAUUUUGUUUCUCUUCGUUAUUCUCAUUCUCUUAUUCUUGUGUUUAUCUAUCUCUUCCUCAUCCUCAUCCUCCUUAUCCUCAUCCAUACUCACGUCCUGAUCUUUAUCCUCAUCCUCUUCCUUUCUCCUUCCUUUCUUUUAUCUCCUUCGUUAUUCUCAUUCUCUUCUUCUCGUGUUUCUCCAUCUCUUCCUCACCCUUUUUCCUCUCUCUCUCUCUUUUUUUUCUUUCAUUUUCUUCACCUGUUCUUUCUUCUGUCUAUUCAAAAGUUCCUUCAAUGUAACUUUUCUUUCUCCUGUUCAACUUUUUCUUCCAGUCAAUUAGUUUCUAUUCACUUUCCUUCUAUUCAACUUUCUCCAACUAUCACCGUCUUGCCUUUAUUUUUCAGCCAUUUCCCUUUCCCCUUCCUCCUCGUCCUCGUCCUCCUCCUCGUCCUUCUCCUCCUCCUCCUCCUCCUCCACAUCCUUUUUUGUCCCUUGUAUUUCAAAAGUGCCAACCAAUGUUUUUUUUUUCGCUUUUCCGUAGACUAUUCGUGCCUUUUUUGGUUCGAAUUUUGUGUAUACCAAAUAUUUCAAAACAUCCAUUUAUGUAUUACAAAAAAAAAAGGAGAAAGAGAGAACUUCCUUUUUGGUACAAUACUCUUUUUUAUUGUUUUUUUUUUUUUUGUUCGUGGAAAGUUUCUAUGUUUCCUGUUUCAUCAUUUGAUUACUCUGUUUCUUUUUUCAAGUAGUCUAUGUUACUUGCACUGAAACUGAAGUUAUUAAGUUAACGAUACCUGUACCAUACGAGUAGUGGACGCUGAGACGAGAAACAUUCCUCACUGAAAGUCAAGUAAAAGACAGAAAAAUGUACCUUCGAACGACUUUAAUUAACUUGUAAGUCACCUGUUUAACCUUUGACCAUCAGGAAAAACACACAAAAAAACACGUAAAUUAUCAUGUAAAGCCAAACGGGACAAAACAUUCGCAAAUCUAACCGCGAACUCUUUAUUUUUACCUUCAUUUUAAUUGUCAAACUCUGCUUCCAAAAAAAAAACUAUAAAUAACAUCAAAUUCAAGAGGGAUAUUUCCGUGCCAGUCGUUAGCAGUAGGUGUCAACGCACGCUGGCACACCUGGCUUGCUUCUGUAGGUGUUCCCAGCCCAGGUAGGCUCAGGUGUGGCCCUCGCACUGCCCUCCUAAUUGAUGUGUUGAUGCCUAACCUGAUUACUGUGGUUGAUCUUUGUGUGGGUUCGUGUUCAUGCUUCCUCGCGGGACUGAAACGGGGAACUCAGUCACUACCUCAGUCUGCUUUUUAUUUAUAUUUUCUUGUAUUGAGGUUGAGUUUGAUUGCUGAGUUAACGAUAAAUACGAAACUUAGUCACUAACUCAGUCUGCUUUUUAUUUAUAUUUUCUUGUAUUGAGGUUGAGUCUGAUUGCUGAGUUAACGAUAAAUACGAAACUCAAUCACUAACUCAGUCUGCUUUUUAUCUAUAUUUUCUUGUAUUGAGGUUGAGUCUGAUUGCUGAGUUAAAACGAUAUAACAAAGCUCACUCAUUUAAUAACUCAGUCUGUUGUUGUUUUCAUUUUCUUGUAUUGAGGUUAAGUCUGAUUGCUGAGUUAAAACGAUAUAACAAAGCUCACUCACUUAAUAACUCAGUCUGUUGAUAUUUUAAUUUUCUUGUACUGAGCUUAAAUUUGAUUGCUGAGUUAAAACGAUAAAUGGGGAACUCAAUCACUUAACAACCCAGUCUCUCUUCUAUCUUUAUUUUCUUUCAUUGAGCUUAAGUCUGAUUGCCAAGUUAGAACUCACUGUUUUUAUUUGAUUCGUUUGUACUGAGCUUAAGUUUGAUUGCCGAGAUCAAAAUAAAAAUAUAUGAAACUCACACAUACUAUCUUACAUUUUUUUGAUUUUUUGUAUUUUUUUUUGUAUUGGCCUUAAGUAUGAGUGAUGAGUUAAAACGAUGAAUACGGAAGUCACUCACAUACUAAUUUAUUCUGUUCUCUUUUUGUGUUGAUCUUAAGUUCGAUUGCCGAGUCAAACCUGUAUGGAGUUAACUCAGAAAAAGCUCAAUCAUUUCCUAAGUCACUCUGAUGUCUUUCCAUUCUGACCUUAAGUUUAAUUCCUGGGUUAGAAUAAUAAAUACGAGUAAGGUUAACUCAGCGGAUUCUCACUCAUUCACUAACAUUUUUUUAUUCAUAUUAAGUUUGAGUGUAAAGUUAAAACGAGAAACACGGAUGGGAUUUAUAUGGUAUGUCUUCAGGUCUCUGGUUUCCCGUUUUCUUUGAGUCACGCGAGGAGGGAAGGACAUGAACGGGCGAAUAGUGACCUGAAGUUAUGAUGAUGAAGGAAAAUACUAACCAGCAACUCAACCCUCAGAAACAAAAUUAACUCAUGAAAAGAAAAGGCUAUGAAAAAAUAUUAGCUUUCAACUCAACCCUCAGAAAAAAAACAAUAAAAACUUAUAAAAAAGAAAAUCCUAUGAAAAAAAUAUUAGCUUUCAACUCAACCUUCAGAAAAAAAACAAUACAAACUAACGUAAAAGAAAAUCCUAUGAAAAAAAUAUUAGCUUUCAACUCAACCCUCAGAAAAAAAACAAUAAAAACUAAUGAAAAAGAAAAUCCUAUGAAAAAAAUGUUAGCUUUCAACUCAACCCUCAGAAAAAAAAAAACAAUAAAAACGAUGAAAAAUUAAAUGCGAUAGAAAAAAAUAUUAGCUUUCAACUCACCCUUGAAAAAAAAAACAUAGAAAAACAAUGAAAAAAAUGCUAUGAGAGAAAUAUUAACUAUCAACUCAACAACACUUAGAAAAAUAAAAAAAAUAAAAAAACAAUGAAAAGAAAAUGCUAGAAAAAGAAAUGUAUUAACCAUCAACUUAACCCUAAAAAAGAAAAAAAAAAACAAUGACAAGAAAAUGCUAUGAAAAAAAAUGUAUUAGGCUUUUCAAACCAUAAUAAAAAACAGAGAAAAAAAAUAAAGUUAAUG